rnacentral:misc_RNA from 1 species
GAUGAAGAACGCAGCGAAAUGCGAUAACUAAAGUGAAUUGCAGAAUUCAGUGAAUCAUCGAGUCUUUGAACGCACAUUGCGCCCCCUGGUAUUCCGGGGGGCAUGCCUGUCCGAGCGUCAUUGCUGCCCUCAAGCACGGCUUGUGUGUUGGGCUCCGUCCCCCCGGGGACGGGCCCGAAAGGCAGCGGCGGCACCGAGUCCGGUCCUCGAGCGUAUGGGGCUUUGUCACCCGCUCUGUAGGCCCGGCCGGCGCCAGCCGACAACCCAUCAUCCUUUUCAGGUUGACCUCGGAUCAGGUAGGGAUACCCGCUGAACUUAAGCAUAUCAAUAAGCGGAGGA